CAGUCAUGCGUUUUUUUUGGG
rnacentral:miRNA from 1 species